AUCUCUGAAUCAUGUGAAUGUGGCUUAAGUUUAUUGAAACGAUCGUCUCAAAAUGGUGACUGGAAUGUAUUAUGAUCUGAUCAACUAAAUAAUUACUUAUUUAAACGAGCUCUUCUUUAAUUAUUCUUUAAAAAAAAAAUCUUUUAUAUUUAUUUAUAAUUUAUCGUAAACGUUCACAUAAUUAUUUGACCAUUAAUAAGUGUUUACGUAGUGUAUAACAUUAAGCUAAAGAAAAAUACACAGAAAUCCUUGUAAUAAGAUAAAAAGUAUUCAAGUUUGAUCAUUGGAGCUUUUGAUUCAAUUCGAGAAACAUUCUCAACAAAUUCAUACAAUAAGAAGAUGAUGCUGUACUUUGGUGAGGAAUUUUAAAACGAGACAACACUGAGGUAUUCUAAAUGUCAGCUACAUAAGGAGGACAACAACAUCUGAAAGGGUUUCGAUUGGUAACGAAAGGUUUUUAUAAGUAAAAAACUAAAGCGCUAUCAUCAUUUUUGAAACUUUUACACCGUGUUGCUCUGGCAUCUCUCACGGCCACCUAUACCGACUCGGAGGGCGAGGACGGGGUGGAUGACGACCUUCAGGAGAAUUCAAACACUCCCCAGGGGGCCGCCCCGCAAAAUGCCCAAGUCGGUCAGCCCCGGGCUCUCAC
rnacentral:misc_RNA from 1 species